CAGGUGCUGUUUGCCCUGAACCAGACGCUGCUGCAGCACGAGAGCGUGCGGGCCGGGAGCCUGCAGGCGCCCUACACCACCGAGGACCUCAUCAAGCACUACAACUGCGGGGACCUCAAUGCCGUCAUCUUCAACCAUGACACGUCCCAGCUGCCCAACUUUAUCAACACCACCCUCCCGCCGCACGAGCAGGUGACGGCCCAGGAGAUUGACAGCUACUUCCGCCAGGAGCUCAUCUACAAGAGGAAUGAGCGGAUGGGGAAGAGGGUCAUGACGCUGCUGCAGGAGAACGAAGACAAGAGCUGCUUCUUUGCCUUCGGAGCAGGUCACUUUCUGGGCAACAACACAGUCAUUGAUGUUCUUCGGCAGGCAGGGCUCGAGGUGGAGCACACACCCGCGGGGCAGACCAUCCACAGCCCUGUGGCCCAGAGCUCAGCAUCUCCACCGGCAAGGACCUCGGCGAGCCCCACCGCAGCGACCCCAGCUGCCGCCGUCCCCCCCGCACCCUCCCCGACCCCCACCGCCGCACCUGAAGAGGAGGACCCGGCCCUCUCCCCACACCUCCUGCUUCCUGACAGCCUCAGCCAGCUGGAGGAGUUCGGGAGGCAGAAGAAGUGGCACAAGAGGCAGAACAAACACCAGCGGCCUCGGCAGUUCAACGACCUCUGGGUCCGCAUCGAGGACAGCACCACCGCCUCGCCACCCCCACUGCCCUUCCAGACGACGCAAAGCUCCGGGACGGCCAAGCCCCCCGUCCAGCUCUCCGACCUGCUGCAGCAGCAGGAAGAGCCAGGGCGGGCCAGCAACUCUGCGCCCAGCUCACAGCCCGCCCUGGGCCUCCUCCCCACCGUCGCUGCCAGCAUCGCUGCCCCCUUCCUGCUGCACACCCUGGGGCCCUCCUGACCUCGGCUGCCCGCCCACCCACCCUGUGCAGACAGAGAGGCCAGAGAAAUGCCAGGAGGGUCUGCGGCCACAGCCACUGCCCCUGCCGCCACCUGCGGGGGUGUCUGACAGCUCGCGGGCAGUCCAGACGGGGUCCGUUAGAACACUAGAGCUUUAUUGUACCUGAGUUACAUCUUCUUUUUUGUAGAAGGAUCUUAAUUUCCCAUAGUGCUAUGGGGCUCUUUUGUAAAAUAUGUGUCCAUAUUAAAAAAGAAAAAUGUAUUUAUUCUACCGAUAAAACUAUUUUUAUGUGGCCAAGGUUAAUGACCCCUUAGCCAGCCCCAAUGCCAACCCAGGAGGCGAACCCAGGUGGCCAGGACAUCUGCGACCUUGUGGAGACCACGGCUUUGAACUGGCUUACGCUUGGCUCAGUGGAAGCCUCCCGGGUCUGGGUUCGGCUUCUCCCACCGCUGGGGCCUCAGAGGAAGGGGCAGGCAGACAGGCUUAGCUUUUGUGAAGCUGGAUUUGGGAGCCAGAGAUGUGAAUGCCGACGGGCCUUCCCUCCCCUGGAUGCAUCCUGGGGAAGGAAGAGCCUCUCGGAAAGGGAAUGCUGCUAUUUCGAAACCCCUGAGUGUCUGUGAACCGGCCCUCCAGAGCUCUUGGUAAGUGUUCCGACCAAAGCCCUGCGGUGUGGGGAGGGAUGCUGGUGCCGAGGGAGGUGGUCCCCGGCCCCGAGUGACAGGUGGUUAAAUGCACCAAAGACGGGAAGGCAGGUGGCCAAGAUCACAGAGCAGGUGGGCGGUCCGAGGUGUGAGUUCAGACUUCCCUGUUCUGGAAUUGUGAAUCCAGCUUGCCUUCCAGGAGAGGCUGUUGAAGUCAUAGCCAAAUGGAGUAAGUUGAGCCACGAGACAGGCGUGGGCGCACGAGGGCAGUUUUAGGGACAGAGCCUCCAGGAGUCCCGUGGUAACCCUGCUUGCAACGCACGCUGCCAUUGGUCCAAAGCCUGCAGCGUGGCAGGCACUUUGCACACUCAUUUUGUCACAGUGAGAUGUGAUCAUCCCCACUUCACAGAUGAGGAAACUGAGCCUCCGUAAAAGCUAAAGGGACUUGUUCAAUGUCACCCAGCCAGGACAUGGCCCUAGAUCCGUGUGAUUCAAAAGCUAUGCUUGUCCCCUGGACCAUAUUCUGUCAUGUUCUCUUUGCCCAAGGAAGCCACAUGGGGGGGCAGAAGUCACCCAGAGGGGCAGCCCGUGCUUCUUACUCCAGCCUGAGACCACGUGGUCGCUCUGGCACAUGUCCUCUGCCCGACUUGUCUUAUCUUGGAGCCAAUGAGAGGCUUUCCUGCCCACUCAGAGGCUGGGGGGUGGGGGGACAGCCAUGAUAGGCCUGCAGAGCCAGAGUAGACAAACGGGGGCCGGCAGGCCACUCAGACUCGGAGAAACUGACCUUGCUCCUCGGUCCCCAGGGCGGUAGCCAAGAAGGCAGAAGACUCAGGUUGGCUGCCUCCCAGCCGCCAACCCUUACUGGGCUGGCAGCUCAUCAGUUACAGAGUCUCGGGACCCAAGUGCAGAAGGGGCCCUACACUGGACAGAUAAUAGCAGUGAAAGUAAAACCAAGGCCCAGAGAGGAGAGGUGUCUCCCCAAGGCUGCACAGCUGGGCCGAUCUGCCGACUCCCACUCCAUGCUCCCGGCGCCACUGCCCUGUGGGCUUCCUGGCAGGCCUGGUGGGCCUGAUUAGAACCAGUGCCGUCAUGCCCAGCUCGGUAGCUGUCUCCCUCUGAGACAGGAGAAUUCUGGGCAGCUGGUCCGAUGGUGAGAAGUCCCACGGCCAUCUUGGCAGGAAGCUGAAUUCUUUUCAGCUCUGAUCCAGAUGGAUGUGUUUGAACUUGAGACCUGGCAGAAGCCCUGAGCUCUGCUUCAGAGAGGGUCCAGCCAGCCCCAUGGGUACCACACUGUAAACUGAACUUGACCCUAGCCAGGGCUGGAGUCCCUUUAUCCUUGGCAGAAAUGUGACUUCCUAUUUCGGAGCGGGAAGGGCUUUAGCUGACUUAUAAAGCAGGCUCAGAAGGCCUAUUGGACAUCAAACAGAUCAUGCAGAGUGCUAUUUGGAUGAGAUAAGUGUGAAAGAAUUAGAAACACACAGGCCAGAUUUCCCUCCGUUCAGGGCAGAGUGUGGCAUGAAAGGUAUUGAGAUGGAGCUUGAGGUUAAUUAAAGAUGAAGCAUUUGGUAAGCAGUCCAGGCACCUGACCGCAUGCCCAGACCUGUGCCAGGCACAGGGCCAAAGAGGUAAAUGAAUGCAGUGUGUGAUUAUCAGGCACGCGCAGUGCCAGGCUCUAUGGUGGGGCCAGAUCUAGCUGCCUUUCUUGGCCCAGACCAACUCGUCAUCAAAUGGAACAAGCAGCCCCCAUCCUGGCUUUCUAGAAGGACCCAUAGAGGUCAUCUUGUCCGGGCCCCUGACCUCGGGCUGAUUCCCCAGAUCCCUCCUCAGGGCAUGCUGGGAGAUUCCAGACUCCCUCCACCACGCCCUCAAGUGUUUAAAGAAAGUCACCUGGGCAGCAGAUGGAUGGACCCACUGCCCAGGUAGACUUCAGUGGGACAGCCAGAGCCAGUGUCAGCUAGGCUUCUACAGCUCAAGUUCACGGGUCCCCAGGGGCCCACUGGCCAGGCCGUGAAAUGAGCUAAACUUGCCGAUCUAGGUCCCAGAAGAUCGGAGGCUCAUAUACGAAAGUCUGCAUGGCUGUGGCCCUUGAACCCUCUCUUCCUGGGCCAGGGUACCACCUUUCCAUCCGCAGCGCCUCACGCACUUUGGAAUGACCUGUCCACCACAGCUGAUAUUUUUUUUUCCAGCACAUUCUUUGUGCCUCACCUCCUAAAAUGCCCCUGCUGCUCUGAGGGCAUCAUGUGUGUGUCUUAGGACUUUGACCUUUGGCCUUGAGGCAGGCAGAGUAGACUGAGAGCCAGCGUGUUCGUGGUGGCCCCGGGUCCCUUUCUGGGUCAGGUCUGGCCGUGUCUUCCAACCUCCCUCCCGGCCAUGCUGUCGCACCUGCAGCCAGGUGAAGCAGGGCUGUUGAGGUGUGUGAGUCAGGCGGCAGGGAGCUGAGAAGAGCCAUGGAUGGCCCUUCCAGCUCUGAGAUUAAAAGAUUUGGAGUCCACGAGGUUGAGCGCGUACUGAUUGGCCAGGGUACCUUUGCCCAGAAAGACUGAGCAGGCUUUCCUCACGCCGCAUGCUCUAUCGUCCAGUGCUUGGCCUCGGUUAUAUUUGGGCAAGACUAGGGACUUGGGACCUAGGGACUUAGGCCCCUUGUCCCACCUGCCCAGUCUCUCGCCCAGGGCCAUGGUCACAAGGCUCCCAAAGAAAGGUUUUCCUAAAGGAAACCAUGAAAGUGCCAUGGAGGAGAGAGGUUCUGCCUGGCAGUUGCAGCUUUGCAGGUAUCCUGUGUGGCAGAGAACAGAACCAGGCCUGGGGACGUGUCCCUCAGCCUGGCAUUCUACCCGCUCCAAGAUUGGGCCCCUCAGACCGUGCCAGCUUUGGCUCCCAUCUCUCCCAUUCUGUGCCUGGCCAGAAUAGACAGGAGAUUUCACGCAUGCUGCUUCUUAGGCCUGGAAACGCCCUUCUCUUACCCCUAACUGCUCAUCCUCUGAGGAUCAACUCAGAUGGCACCUCCUCCAGGAAGCCCUCUGGGUUGAGACCGUCCGUGUUUCUGCUCUCUGUCGGACUGUGAGCUUCUUGACAGCAAGAUCAUGGGAAUUCAUCUUUGUCCCCUCAUAGGACACAGAUGUGUGGCGAGGACAGAGGCAGGAAGGAGGGAAGGAAAGGAGAGGCAGACCUUAGCUCCAUUAGUGGGAGAGUCUGCACAGCCAAAGCUGUCGAAAGAUGCCAGGUGCCCCCACAGUUGGUGAGUCUCCCAUCAGGAGCAGUGUGAGCAGGGCAGUAGGCCCACUGGUAGGAGAGUUGGAGUCUUGGCAAGGGUGUGGGUAGGGUCCCUCCUGGCUCUUUAAUGCUCAGGUUCUUUCAACAUUGUUAUGUUUCCAAAAAUUCAUCUAAGCAGCCAAAAAAAUCACCCGGGCUGGCUGUCUAAACCCGUAACUUUCAGAAAUCAGGCCAGCUUCACCCCUCCCGCCCCACCUCCGGUUCCUCAACAGCCCAGCCGCCAGACGUGAAUUGGCAGGCUUGCCUGCUGCCCUGGGGCAGGGGCGCUUCUGGGCGGUGGGGGCAGGCUGGACCUGAACCCGGGCCCCUGGUCCCAGCCCAGAGCCGUUCCCUCCCUGCGCCCAACCCUGCAGGAGGAAGAGGGGGUUAUGAGAACCGACUGAGCCAGAGCGGGCACUUUCGCAGGAGCAGCAGCACGCACUCCCCUCUCCCCACGGGCUCCAAACGUGUGGCCUCUUCCUUUGCAGACAUGUUCUAGGUACUCCUUCACUUUGCUGGGUGACCUUGGGCGAGUCCCUACCCCUCUCUGAGCCUCCAUCUCCUCUUCUGUCAAUGGAGACUUUGUUCCCUGCUGGGGCUAUCCUGGGGCCGGGGGGGAACGCCGGGUGCACCUGGGGGCCCCACGAAGAUGAGGUGCUGCCCCUCCCCAGGGCUAGUGCUCGGCUUUCCUCCCAGGACCCAAGGCUGCCAUGGGGUCAGUUGGGAGCAUGUGGCAGGCAGGGAAGGUAUCGGAGUGGCACGCCUUGACGGGCCCUCCACCCCAAGUCCCACUGCAGCGAGAGUGGCCUUUGAACAAGGCCCGGGUCUAGGAAGUUUCUGGCGGGGCCAUGAGACAGCUUGGGCCCCAGUGGCUGGGGUGGCCAGGGCGGACUCUUGGCCAAGAGAUGUUCAAGCCCAGAGCAGGCCCCGUCCCUGGGCCUCAGAGAGACCGCGGGACAUCCCACCUGCCUCUCCCUGUGUGACACAAGCUUCAGAUCCCAAUGUGUUGGAAAGGUAUUCGUGUUGUUCUUUUAAUGGCCUCUUUCCCUCGCCUCUGUGAAUUCUCCUGAAGAGUUCUUUUAAGAAUAUAAUAGAAGACAAAGAAAGAUGCUAUUAAUGUUAUUUUGCUGAAAAUAUUUUUGUAGCAUAAUAUAUUAAUAAAAGACAUGGUGAUUUCA
rnacentral:lncRNA from 1 species